rnacentral:rRNA from 1 species
UACGGGAUAAGCUCACGAGAGCGCAUGCUUUUGGGAGAAAAGCUCCUUAACGGGAGUGCAGUCAGAGGGGUCCGCGGCCCAUUAGCUAGUUGGUGGGGUAACGGCCCACCAAGGCGACGAUGGGUAGCCGGCCUGAGAGGGCGAACGGCCACACUGGGACUGAGACACGGCCCAGACUCCUACGGGAGGCAGCGGUCGGGAAUUUUGCACAAUGGCCGAAAGGCUGAUGCAGCAACGCCGCGUGAGUGAAGAAGGCCUUCGGGUUGUAAAGCUCUGUUGCCCGUGAAGAACGGCCAGGUCAGGAAAUGGGCUUGGUUUGACGGUAGCGGGAGAGGAAGCCCCGGCUAACUACGUGCCAGCAGCCGCGGUAAUACGUAGGGGGCGAGCGUUGUCCGGAUUUAUUGGGCGUAAAGGGCGUGUAGGCGGCUGUCUAAGUCGGGGGUGAAAAUCCAGGGCUCAACCCUGGGACUGCCUUUGAUACUGGAUGGCUUGAGUGCUCUAGAGGGCAGUGGAAUUGCCGGUGUAGCAGUGAAAUGCGUAGAGAUCGGCAGGAACACCAGUGGCGAAGGCGACUGCCUGGGGAGUAACUGACGCUGAGGC